UUGCACCCCAACCAAUCUUCCCACAAUUAUACAGAAAGAUGCAGACAUGCACACAUGGCCACCUCUGAGCCAAGUACAUCCUGAGUUAUGCAGAGCCCCUGUGUCUUCCCUGCCAUGGAAGUUGUGCUAGACCCACAGUGCUCAUAGCCUGGAAAACAUCAUCUUAAACACAAGGCAGUGUGAUGCCCUCUGGGACUGAAAGCUGCUGGAGGCUCUUUGGGGAUGGGGAUAUGUCAGCUGUCCUGAGAUAAUGUCCACCAGUUCCUAUGAGGUGGUCUCCCAGGAUCAGUAGCAGACAGGCAGGGGGACCAUGUGCAGGGACAGGCUUGUGGUGAGGCCUGUAGACCAUUCCCAAAUCAACAGUGCCAAAAACUGUGAGGCCCCAUCAGCUGAGUUGUGGAGGAGGCAAAAGCAAGGAGGCAGAAGUACAGGAGAGGUAUGGAAUCCAGGAGAGGAGGAAACAGCUGAGGGUACUGCAAGAGAAUGCAACUAAGACAUGAUCUCUACAGUGACAUCAUGACCCAAGAAGUUUGCAUGGGAGACUGAGUGACCUGGGAGAAGAAAAUAAGUCACUCAAGGGCUGAUCCAUGCAAAGUCACCAAUGCUGGCUCCAUCCCUGAGCUACCAGGGAACGUGCAUAAGGGAAGCAUUGCAAGGUAUCACACCACCUUACAAACGCCAGGACCAGGGUCAGGAGGAGCAGGGAAACGCUGUUGCUGGAGACGAACAGAGCCAGACUGCAGGGGAGAUGGCAGUGGGUGAGGUUCAGCUUGCAUCGUGAGGGAGUGCUGGGCUUCUUGUUAGCUCCACGUUUUCCUUUCCUCUCCCUGCUGGUGUGAGAAAACGCACGCUGCAUUUGUUCGGCUGCCAGGAAUAUGGCAGCUCAAGCACCAUCUUGUUAGCUUUGCUGUGUGUCUUUUCCCACAGCAUUGCUUUAAAUAAUGAAGGGAGUCAUGAUCCACCAGCUGGAUUAGACGUUAUGAACUUAUCUGGCUCAAAUCCAAUGGUGAUAUAUUUGGCCUCAUUAUUUUAUGCACAAAUGCCACAAAACAGCACAAGAUUUUUUUUUUCUUUUCCUAAAUACUCUUUUUCUUUUAGCACUGACAUUUCUCUUAUUUGCAUUAAGAUUUGCAAUGAACAGUCUGUGCCAGACCAAAUUUGUCAGAUACUUCUGCUUUUAUGGCUGGUUUGUUCCAGGAAAUCAGGGUUGGAAUUGUAUCCCCUGACCUCAGGGAUGGGCCAACGAGUGCUCCCAGGGUGGGGAACAUCUUCUCGCCUUCAGGGACCGCCUGUGUGAGGAAAUGGGGGAACCGGUGCCUUGGCCAGGACAUCAGUUCAGGAAAAUUGAAAUCGCGUUCCUCAUGUGUUGUGGCUUUUAGCAAGCAUCUGAGCUGUAGUUUCCCUAGCUGUAUGGGGAAUAUGAUAACAUUCAGCCUGCUUUAUAAAGUAUUCAGAGGCUUACAAGACUUUUAUUAAAUGAAGAUCUAGAUGGAAGUGAUGGGAAGUGCUGUUACAUGAACUUCACUUAUGCUCUUGCUAUUUCCAGUGCAGGUACCCAACAGUAUGCAUGCAGAGUGAUAGAUGCAAUGGGGCAGGGAAGCAGACACGCUUGCUGUGGAGUGCAAGAUUUCCCCCUACAGAGGGAAUCAGCCUCCCUGUCACUCGGGAGACAGAGACAGGGAAAGUUUUGCACAGGAGGACAGAAAACUGCCUGCAAAAGCCAGAGAUACAAGAAGAUCAGAGGUCAGGGAUGGAUAAGAAAUGCUUUGAGCAUAGAAAGAUUAGAGGGCAAAAGCCUUCACUGUGGAUACUUUGAUCUUGCAGCAGUACAGAUCCUACAGAGUUUGGCCCUACCUAAAAAGCAUGAAAUUGCCUCAGACCAGGGUCUCGUGUCCUUUGCUAUUCCAGCAAAGUAAAAUAAAAAAUUCACAAAGAGAUGUGAGCCACCUGGGAUAGGAAUGCCCAUCAGCUUCUAAAUUAUGAUUUCUUAGUGAUUAAAGUGCAAGAAAUGAGGGUGUUGUGUGGGAUGCUUUACCUAGCCAUCCUGGCAUGAUCACGCUGUGUUACAAUUCAAUUCAGCCUUCAGGCAAUGCACUCCUGCUCUGCUUCCGGAACCAGACAAUGUCUGCUCUGAGUAUUUCAUCUGACAAUCCAGAGAGAAAGGAAGAUUAGAGAAGUAGAAACCUACAACAUUUUGGGGGGGGGGGGAAGUCUUUUUCCCCCCAUUUGUUUUCUGUUUCAUAUAGUGUUAGUUCAGUAUGUGCCGUUGUGCUGAGUCUGCUAUUUGAAGUAGUUUCUGCAAAGUCAAGACCAAGUUUGGGAGAAUCUGGAAAUAACGUAAACACACUGAAUCUGAAAAGCAAAAUCAGACUCUCCUCAUUUUGUUUUUCAUUAAGCAGAGAAAGGGAAGAGUGUGCUCCAUGUAUUCAGCCAUUCAAGUGCUAUGUACUCGGAUACCGUCUGGGUGAGCCGAAGCAUUGCUCUGCAAAUAUUGACAGUCUCUUCAUUCAAGCAAGAGCUCUCAGAGUCUAAUUUUAAGUGCUCAUUUUGUGUAUUCCUCAAUAAAAGUCAGGCAAUUAGGGGAAGAACAA